GUGUACCGGGCGCCCCGCUCCUCCUCCCAAGGGGACGCCUGCGAGAACGGCGACACUCCUCCUCCCGGUCGCUGUUCGGUUCUAUCAGGAAAAGCCUGCCGCACCUCCUCCCGCGGCGGGCUUUUUCG
rnacentral:sRNA from 1 species